UACGGAGGGGGCUAGCGUUGUUCGGAAUUACUGGGCGUAAAGCGCACGUAGGCGGAUCGUUAAGUCAGGGGUGAAAUCCUGGAGCUCAACUCCAGAACUGCCUUUGAUACUGGCGAUCUUGAGUCCGGAAGAGGUGAGUGGAACUCCUAGUGUAGAGGUGGAAUUCGUAGAUAUUAGGAAGAACACCAGUGGCGAAGGCGGCUCACUGGUCCGGUACUGACGCUGAGGUGCGAAAGCGUGGGGAGCAAACAGG
rnacentral:rRNA from 1 species